rnacentral:rRNA from 1 species
AUGCACGCUGGCGGCGUGCUUAACCCCUGCACGUCGAACGAGAAGUGGAGACGGAAACCUUCGGGCGGAAGACUUUAUUUCGAGUGGCGGACGGGUGAGUAACGCGUGGGUAACCUGCCUCAUACAGGGGGAUAACAGUUGGAAACGACUGUUAAUACCGCAUAAGACCACAGCACCGCAUGGUGCGGGGGUAAAAACUCCGGUGGUAUGAGAUGGACCCGCGUUCGAUUAGCCAGUUGGCGGGGUAACGGCCCACCAAAGCGACGAUCGAUAGCCGAUCUGAGAGGAUGACCGGCCACAUUGGGACUGAGACACGGCCCAAACUCCUACGGGAGGCAGCAGUGGGGAAUAUUGCACAAUGGGGGAAACCCUGAUGCAGCGACGCCGCGUGAGUGAAGAAGUAUUUCGGUAUGUAAAGCUCUAUCAGCAGGGAAGAAAAUGACGGUACCUGAGUAAGAAGCCCCGGCUAACUACGUG